GAUGAACGCUAGCGGCAGGCUUAAUACAUGCCAGUCGAGGGGUAGCAAGAUUGUAGCAAUACAAUUGUUGACGACCGGCCAACGGGUGCGGAACACGUACACAACCUUCCUACAAGUGGGGAAUAGCCCAGAGAAAUUUGGAUUAAUACCCUGUAACAUAGCGAUGUGGCAUCACAUUGCUAUUAAAGCUUCGGCGCCUGUCGAUGGGUGUACGGCUGAUUGGAUAGUUGGGGGGGUAACGGCCCACCAAGUCUACGAUCAGGAGCUGAUGUGAGAGCAUGAUCAGCCACACGGGCACUGAGACACGGGGCCGACUCCUACGGGAGGCAGCAGUAAGGAAUAUUGGACAAUGGACGCAAGUCUGAUCCAGCCAUGCCGCGUGAAGGAUUAAGGUCCUCUGGAUUGUAAACUUCUUUUAUAAGGGACGAAAAAAGGUCUUUCUAGAUCGUCUGACGGUACCUUAUGAAUAAGCACCGGCUAACUCCGUGCCAGCCGCCGCGGUAAAAC
rnacentral:rRNA from 1 species